rnacentral:misc_RNA from 1 species
GCGUGUUGCAAGUGCUGCACACUGUGUUGCUGCCCUCAGUAGUACCCACACUGCGACAAUCGCCAUCGUCCUGCUAUCGCUUCGCCACGGCCACGCGCCUCUUUAAAGCGCCCCGUCUCGCUGCUGCAACUGCUGCAGACAGUGCUACAAACAAAGUCACCUCUCCACUCCCUCUCUCCGCAACUGUCAGCAAAAUCACAAACGAAGACUCCGGCGAGC